GUUUAAGGCCCACGCUGAUUGGAAACCCUAGUCCUACGAUAUGUACCAAACCAAGAUCGAUCUAACCGAGUCACCUGGAGAGGGGUUCUGCGAAAAGAGACGAGAGAGAGAGAGAGAGAGAGAGAGAGACGAAGAGAGACUCUUGAGUCACCAUGAGGGCUAAGUGGAAGAAGAAGCGCAUGAGGAGGUUGAAGAGGAAGCGCCGAAAGAUGAGACAAAGAUCCAAGUAGACUAUGCAUUUUGACAACGUGGGCUUCUCCUGAUUUGCCACCUUCUUUCACAGUUGUUGGCAGGUGUUGUCCGGGGAGUAGGUGGGGGAAUUCAAAGGAGGAGUGUUCUUUGUCCAGUGCAGUUUCUAUAUUAAACUUUUGUAGCACUAUCAAGAGUUUAGUGUUAAAUGUUUGAGGGUACUCGUUUGAUAUCUCAUUUCUGUGACUGAAUAACUUAUAUAUUAACCUUCAGUUUGAAC